rnacentral:tRNA from 1 species
GGGCCCUUAGCUCAGCCUGGUAGAGCGCUUGCUCGACACGCAAGAGGCCACUGGUUCAAGUCCAGUACGGCCCA